CCCGCUGAGUUUAAGCAUAUCAAUAAGCGGAGGAAAAGAAACUAACAAGGAUUCCCUUAGUAACGGCGAGCGAACCGGGAAGAGCCCAGCUUGAAAAUCGGACGUCUUUGGCGUUUGAAUUGUAGUCUGGAGAAACGUUUUCAGCAACGGAUCGGGCCCAAGUUCACUGGAAAGGGAAGCCAGAGAGGGUGAGAGCCCCGUCCUGCCCCGACCCCUUCGCACCACGAGGCACUUUCUACGAUUCGGGUUGUUUGGGAAUGCAGCCCCAAUCGGGCGGUAAAUUCCGUCCAAGGCUAAAUAAGAGCGAGAGACCGAUAGCAAACAAGUACCGUGAGGUAAAGAUGAAAAGGACUUUGAAAAGAGAGUCAAAGAGUGCUUGAAAUUGUCGGGAGGGAAGCAGAUGGGGGCCGGUGAUGCGUCCUGGUCGGAUGCGGAACGGAGCAAUCCGGUCCGCCGAUCGAUUCGGGGCGUGGACCGACGCGGAUUAAGGUGGUGACCUAAGCCCGGGCUUUUGUUACGCCCGUGGAGACGUCGCUGCCUUAAUCGUGGUCUGCAGCACGCGCCUCACGGCGUGCCUCGGCAUCUGCGUGCUCAGGGCGUCGGCCUGUGGGCUCCCCAUUCGACCCGUCUUGAAACACGG
rfam:Brassica rapa chromosome A5, whole genome shotgun sequence.